rnacentral:rRNA from 1 species
AUACGGAGGGAGCUAGCGUUGUUCGGAAUUACUGGGCGUAAAGAGUACGUAGGCGGUGAUUCAAGUCAGAGGCGAAAGCCUGGAGCUCAACUCCAGAACUGCCUUUGAAACUAGAUCGCUAGAAUUAUGGAGAGGUUAGUGGAAUUCCGAGUGUAGAGGUGAAAUUCGUAGAUAUUCGGAAGAACACCAGUGGCGAAGGCGACUAACUGGACAUAUAUUGACGCUGAGGUACGAAAGCGCGGGGAGCAAACAGGAUUAGAUACCCUGGUAGUCCACGCCGUAAACGAUGAUAACUAGCUGUUCGGGGUCUACGAUCCUGAGUGGCGCAGCUAACGCAUUAAGUUAUCCGCCCGGGGAGUACGGUCGCAAGAUUAAAACUCAAAUGAAUUGGCGGGG